UACAGAGGUCUCAAGCGUUGUUCGGAUUCAUUGGGCGUAAAGGGUGCGUAGGCGGCGCGGUAAGUCGGGUGUGAAAUCUCGGAGCUUAACUCCGAAACUGCAUUCGAUACUGCGGUGCUUGAGGACUGGAGAGGAGACUGGAAUUCAUGGUGUAGCAGUGAAAUGACGUAGAGAUCAUGAGGAAGACCAGUGGCGAAGGCGGGUCUCUGGACAGUUCCUGACACUGAGGCACGAAGGCCAGGGGGAGCAAACGGG
rnacentral:rRNA from 1 species